rnacentral:rRNA from 1 species
GACGAACGCUGGCGGCGUGCUUAACACAUGCAAGUCGAACGGUGAAGCGCCUUCCUUUUUGGUGGGUGUGGAUGAGUGGCGAACGGGUGAGUAACACGUGAGUAACCUGCCCCCUUCUUCUGGAUAACCGCAUGAAAGUGUGGCUAAUACGGGAUAUUCUGGGUCUGUCGCAUGAUGGGUCUGGGAAAGAUAUUGUUUCGGUGGGGGAUGGGCUCGCGGCCUAUCAGCUUGUUGGUGGGGUGAUGGCCUACCAAGGCGGUGACGGGUAGCCGGCCUGAGAGGGUGGACGGUCACACUGGGACUGAGACACGGCCCAGACUGCUACGGGAGGCAGCAGUGGGGAAUAGUGCACAAUGGGCGAAAGCCUGAUGCAGCGACGCCGCGGGAGGGAUGGAGGCCUUCGGGUUGUGAACCUCUUUCGCCAGUGAAGCAGGCCUGCCUCGUUUGUGGGUGGGUUGACGGUAGCUGGAUAAGAAGCGCCGGCUAACUACGUG